rnacentral:rRNA from 1 species
UACAUGGGGUGCAAACGUUGCUCGGAAUUAUUGGGCGUAAAGCGCACGUAGGCGGUCCGUUAAGUCGGAUGUGAAAGCCCCCGGCUCAACCGGGGAAGUGCAUCCGAAACUGGCAGGCUAGAGUACGAAAGAGGGUCGCGGAAUUCCCGGUGUAGAGGUGAAAUUCGUAGAUAUCGGGAGGGACACCGGUGGCGAAGGCGGCGACCUGGGUCGAUACUGACGCUGAGGUGCGAAAGCGUGGGGAGCAAACAGG